GGAUAGCUCAGUCGGUAGAGCAUGAGACUCUCAGGGUUGUGGGUUCGAGCCCCAUGUUGGGCA
rnacentral:tRNA from 1 species